GUUGUCAGAGGCAUCUGUGUCGCGAUUUUCUUUUCAAUUCCCGUAAAUUUCGCAAAAUUUAAUUCCCUCUACCAUUUUCUUUUCACUUCCUACUCUAAGUUCCGUUUAUUAAGUUCGAACAUUAAAAUCUGUUUUUUCCUUAUUUUUAUUUUGUUUUAUUUUUCUGUUUUUCCAAAUUUUUUUAAGUUUUUUUUCCUGUGGUCGGUGCGAAGCGGUCUCAAAGAAUACGCGUACGAGAUCAUAUGCAUUGAUUUCAAACGGCUCGAAGGGAAAAAUCUGCAGCUACUAAAAUAGCCGAGAACUUUGUACUCGCUGUUUAUUAGUAUUAGAAUUUAGUUUGUAGUGUAUUUUUGGAUUGUAUAGAAUCAUUCAAAAGCAACUCAUUGAUUAGUAUAAGUUUUAUUUAAUGUCGAUAAUCUCUACCAAAUAUAAUUUUGUUUAAAAAUUAUGUAAAACCACGAUUUUAAAAUGUAUCAAUGUUUAAUAUUUUCAUAGGUAUCCAGAUUUACAGCUGACAACAGAGAAGAAUACUCACUUUCUGCAUUUUACUCUGUGACAAAUCCCCAAUUUGCUCACACUUAGGAUGCAGGAUUUGAAAAGCACGCCAUCUCUCGACUAACCACGGAACUAAAAGUUGCUUGCUACUCGCUACUAGAUGGCGUUACUUGUACCAUAUUUUUUACUACUAAUGGAGUAUUUUUAGAAGAAAGAAGAUUAUAAAUAAAUGUAUUGUGCUGUGCCCUUGUCAUUCUUCUUGCCUGUGUGCUUUAUACUACUGGACGGAGAACUGAUAAGGGCAUAUCCAGUACGAAUUCAUCGCGGGAAAGAAGAUUUUGAA